AUCCUGGCUCAGAUUGAACGCUGGCGCAUGCCUUAUACAUGCAAGUCGAACGGCAGCACGGGGCAACCUGGUGGCGAGUGGCGAACGGGUGAGUAAUGCAUCGGAACGUGCCAUUGAGUGGGGAUAACGUAGCGAAAGUUGCGCUAAUACCGCAUAUUCUGUGAGCAGGAAAGCAGGGGACCGCAAGGCCUUGCGCUCUUUGAGCGGCCGAUGUCAGAUUAGCUAGUUGGUGAGGUAACGGCUUACCAAGGCGACGAUCUGUAGCGGGUCUGAGAGGAUGAUCCGCCACACUGGAACUGAGACACGGUCCAGACUCCUACGGGAGGCAGCAGUGGGGAAUUUUGGACAAUGGGCGCAAGCCUGAUCCAGCCAUGCCGCGUGAGUGAAGAAGGCCUUCGGGUUGUAAAGCUCUUUCGGCCGGGAAGAAAUCGCAUGGGUUAAUACCCUGUGUGGAUGACGGUACCGGAAUAAGAAGCACCGGCUAACUACGUG
rnacentral:rRNA from 1 species